UACGUAGGGGCAAGCGUUGUCCGGAUUCAUUGGGCGUAAAGAGCGUGUGGGCGGCCAGGUAGGUCGGUUGUGAAAACUGGAGGCUCAACCUUCAGAGGUCGACCGAAACCAUCUGGCUAGAGUCCGGGAGAGGAGAGUGGAAUUCCUGGUGUAGCGGUGAAAUGCGCAGAUAUCAGGAAGAACACCGGUGGCGAAGGCGGUUCUCUGGGCAUUACCUGACGCUGAGGAGCGAAAGUGUGGGGAGCGAACAGG
rnacentral:rRNA from 1 species